UUGAUCAAAGGUUGCUGAAUAAUGGAAUGAUUUUUUUUUUUCAUAUUUCAGGUUCUCAGAGGUAUGAGAAAAUUUCAGCAUCAUGGAAUCUCAGCUGUUUAGUACACUCAUUUGAUCAAUUAUUUGCACUCUGUCUGGAAGACUGAAUGGGGAUACAAGAUUUAUAGGACCCUGACAAAAAGGAAACAAGGCAAUAAGCAUAUAUUAAGAUUGCACUAUGUGCCAGGUUUUGUGGCAAAGGCUAGGGAACAAAUACAAGCUAAAAGGAAAGUCCUUGCCCUCGAGGAGCUUACAGUGAGAUGGCAGUGGAGGCACACAACAGGCUUUUGGAGAAAGCAUUGGAACCAGUUGUAGCAGUGAGCAUAGAGGUCAGGGACCUCGGAUUUCCCAGAGAUCCAUGCAGACUAAUCCAGUCAUCAUUUAGAAGACUCUCUGCAUGGAAUUAGUAAAAGUCAGCAG
rnacentral:lncRNA from 1 species